UUGGAGUGAGUCUCACUUAUAACUAUGUUGCUAUCCAAUUUUACUAAUUAGACAUAUAUUGUCUAUUUUGAUCAAUAUAUACAUUUUGCUACAUUGUCUGAACUUGAUUCAUUCUCAUCCAAUACUUAAAGGUCUUGGAAACAUACUGUUGAAACAUGAUAGAGAGCUCUCUGUAUACAACUUUGAAAAUAGCCGAUCAACAAUAAACUUUGCGCUCGCCGCCCACUAAUGACAAAACAAAAAUACCUUCUUGAAUGUAGCUAUACAAAAAAUCAUGGAGUGAAGCUAUUAGACACCUCUUGUGAGAAACUUCUGAGGCUAAAUUUGGUUUCUGUUGGAGUACCUACUAGUAUCUA
rnacentral:lncRNA from 1 species